CGUGUGCAACCUGCCUUUAUCAGGGGGAUAGCCUUUCGAAAGGAAGAUUAAUACCCCAUAAUAUAUUGAGUGGCAUCACUUAAUAUUGAAAACUCCGGUGGAUAGAGAUGGGCACGCGCAAGAUUAGAUAGUUGGUGAGGUAACGGCUCACCAAGUCUGCGAUCUUUAGGGGGCCUGAGAGGGUGAUCCCCCACACUGGUACUGAGACACGGACCAGACUCCUACGGGAGGCAGCAGUGAGGAAUAUUGGACAAUGGGUGCGAGCCUGAUCCAGCCAUCCCGCGUGAAGGACGACGGCCCUAUGGGUUGUAAACUUCUUUUGUAUAGGGAUAAACCUACUCUCGUGAGAGUAGCUGAAGGUACUAUACGAAUAAGCACCGGCUAACUCCGUGCCAGCAGCCGCGGUAAUACGGAGGGUGCAAGCGUUAUCCGGAUUUAUUGGGUUUAAAGGGUCCGUAGGCGGAUCUGUAAGUCAGUGGUGAAAUCUCACAGCUUAACUGUGAAACUGCCAUUGAUACUGCAGGUCUUGAGUGUUGUUGAAGUAGCUGGAAUAAGUAGUGUAGCGGUGAAAUGCAUAGAUAUUACUUAGAACACCAAUUGCGAAGGCAGGUUACUAAGCAACAACUGACGCUGAUGGACGAAAGCGUGGGGAGCGAACAGGAUUAGAUACCCUGGUAGUCCACGCCGUAAACGAUGCUAACUCGUUUUUGGGUUUUCGGAUUCAGAGACUAAGCGAAAGUGAUAAGUUAGCCACCUGGGGAGUACGAACGCAAGUUUGAAACUCAAAGGAAUUGACGGGGGCCCGCACAAGCGGUGGAUUAUGUGGUUUAAUUCGAUGAUACGCGAGGAACCUUACCAAGGCUUAAAUGGGAAAUGACAGGCUUAGAAAUAGGCUUUUCUUCGGACAUUUUUCAAGGUGCUGCAUGGUUGUCGUCAGCUCGUGCCGUGAGGUGUUAGGUUAAGUCCUGCAACGAGCGCAACCCCUGUCACUAGUUGCCAUCAUUAAGUUGGGGACUCUAGUGAGACUGCCUACGCAAGUAGAGAGGAAGGUGGGGAUGACGUCAAAUCAUCACGGCCCUUACGCCUUGGGCCACACACGUAAUACAAUGGCCGGUACAGAGGGCAGCUACACUGCGAAGUGAUGCAAAUCUCGAAAGCCGGUCUCAGUUCGGAUUGGAGUCUGCAACUCGACUCUAUGAAGCUGGAAUCGCUAGUAAUCGCGCAUCAGCCAUGGCGCGGUGAAUACGUUCCCGGGCCUUGUACACACCGCCCGUCAAGCCAU
rnacentral:rRNA from 1 species